AGAGUUUGAUCAUGGCUCAGAUUGAACGCUGGCGGCAGGCCUAACACAUGCAAGUCGAACGGUAACAGGAAACAGCUUGCUGUUUCGCUGACGAGUGGCGGACGGGUGAGUAAUGUCUGGGAAACUGCCUGAUGGAGGGGGAUAACUACUGGAAACGGUAGCUAAUACCGCAUAACGUCGCAAGACCAAAGAGGGGGACCUUAGGGCCUCUUGCCAUCGGAUGUGCCCAGAUGGGAUUAGCUAGUAGGUGGGGUAACGGCUCACCUAGGCGACGAUCCCUAGCUGGUCUGAGAGGAUGACCAGCCACACUGGAACUGAGACACGGUCCAGACUCCUACGGGAGGCAGCAGUGAGGAAUAUUGGUCAAUGGCCGGAAGGCUGAACCAGCCAUGCCGCGUGAAGGUCAGUGCCCUAUGGGCGUUAAACUUCUUUUGUGCGGGAGCAAUAAGGUCCACGUGUGGACCGACGAGAGUACCGUACGAAUAAGCAUCGGCUAACUCCGUGCCAGCAGCCGCGGUAAUACGGGGGAUGCAAGCGUUAUCCGGAUUUAUUGGGUUUAAAGGGUGCGUAGGCUGUGAGGUAAGUCAGCGGUGAAAUGCCCCCGCUCAACGGGGUGAAGUGCCAUUGAUACUGCCUUGCUGGAAUGCGGAUGCCGUGGGAGGAAUGUGUGGUGUAGCGGUGAAAUGCAUAGAUAUCACACAGAACACCGAUUGCGAAGGCAUCUCACGAAUCCGCGAUUGACGCUGAUGCACGAAAGCGUGGGUAUCAAACAGGAUUAGAUACCCUGGUAGUCCACGCUGUAAACGAUGAUGACUAACCGUCGGCGAUACACAGUCGGUGGCCAAGCGAAAGCGAUAAGUCAUCCACCUGGGGAGUACGGCCGCAAGGCUGAAACUCAAAGGAAUUGACGGGGGCCCGCACAAGCGGAGGAACAUGUGGUUUAA
rnacentral:rRNA from 1 species